UACGGAGGAUGCAAGCGUUAUCCGGAAUUAUUGGGCGUAAAGCGUCCGCAGGCGGCCCUUCAAGUCUGUCGUCAAAGACCGGGGCUUAACCCUGGAAAGGCGAUGGAAACUGAAAGGCUAGAGAGAGGUAGGGGUAGAGGGAAUUCCCAGUGUAGCGGUGAAAUGCGUAGAGAUUGGGAAGAACAUCGGUGGCGAAGGCGCUCUACUGGACCUCAUCUGACACUCAGGGACGAAAGCUAGGGGAGCGAAUGGG
rnacentral:rRNA from 1 species